CGCGUAGAACUGGAAUGAACACGGUUUGCACACGUGGAUACCUCAAAAUGGAACAAACAUCCCCGGUGAGAUUCCGCCGGCAGGAUGUCGAGCUGAGGUAUUCCUGGGGGUUCAGCCGGUACGUGUCGACCAUGAAAUUACGGACUCGACGGUUCAGUCCGUGUGGGCCACUCACACUUCCGGUGAUUUGGACUUGUUCUUUCCGUUGAAGAAUUCAGGGAGGGCGCGCUUCUCGAUUGAGUGGAUGCUGACAAAAAGAAAUAACGCGAGUGGGGUCCUCCAUUUCUUUGGUCAAGUCCUCCUCUGGCUCCUCCUCCUGCUGUCCACGUCGCCGCCUUCAUCUUCAGAGGACAAGGGAGAAGGAGAGCGUCGUCUCUUUUUGAAGGGGGUGGACUUCACAUCCUGACACAGAUGAGGUGAAUUGUCAAGACACCUUAUUAUUUUUCCCUCAAGAAAUAUUCUUAUAAUAUUAAUAACAGACCUGGU